rnacentral:lncRNA from 1 species
AGAAACAGCCACACACUAUCUGUGGAUUCUAUUUUUCUACGAUGCUUGCUUUCUUUACCGAGGUCUUUGGCAUGUCCACGUUUUGGCUGACAUAGCGAAACCCCGUCUCUACUAAAAAUACAAACUAUUAGCUUGGGGUGGUGCUGCAUGCCUGUGAAUCCACCCACCUCGGCCUCCCAAAGUGCUGGGAUUACAGACGUGAGCCACUGUGCCUGGCUGAAGCUCAGUUUUAUCAUUGGUAAAACAUGGGAGUCUGACGUUUUGCUCUGUUCAUCUCAUGGUUAUUGUGCAGACUACAGGGAUGAUAAACGUGAGGGUGCCUUGUAAAUGGUGCACUGCUGUAUCUGCAUGACAGCUAUUGUCAGACCUGGAAUAAAGCCUGCAGGGCACAAGGCUGGACUAUGUGGUCAAGUCGAUGCAUUUGUUCAGGCCAUGUGGCCUCUUUGUGCUAUAGUUUCUUCGAUUGUAAUACGGGAAUAAUAACCCCCAACUUUUCCCUGCCACCCAGGAUGUGCUUGGAUUGCUUGCAUGAAAGAGCCCCAAGGCCUCUGGAAAUGCAAGGAUAGAAACCCAGGGCCAUAUGAAUCACACUCAUUUUGGUUACUUUUACACUCUUGACUCUAAGGUUUCAUUCUUGGAUGCCUCCCUGACCUAAUCAUGCUUACAACUGUCUUUCCUCUUAUACUACCAGCCCACAUAUGCUUGGAAAAAGCAAGAUUAUGG